rnacentral:lncRNA from 1 species
AUGGAUAUCUUCUGAAGGUUUCUUUUAGUCAUACAAGCAUCCCAUCUCUACGAGUAUCCACACGAGACUCUGAUUUGAUCAGAAGCCUUUUCAUCUCACUGGGGUGCUAGCUCUCUUACAAAGAUCACAUCUUGACAGUUGAAAAUCUUCUUUUCUCCUAAGACACUCUUAGAGAAUAAGAAGAUGUAGGAGGAUCUUGAUUUUUACACUAGAGAUCAUGAGAAGAAUCAUUUCUUCUCUUUUCUUCCUAAAAUCCAUGUACCAAAUCUCUACAAUAGAGAUGUAAAAAUUUUAUCUAACUUUUGGAUAAAGAAGAGAGGAGACAUCCAUAUCUAAACAUGGGCAAGAGGGAGGAGAUAAGAUGUUCUAACAACCAACAAUUGGUUGUUGUAAGAAAGAAGGGAUAUAUGGAUACAUAUCUUAUGCCUUACCCAUGCACAUUGCGCCCUCCUUUUUCUCCUCUAUUUUAAUGCACACCUCCUCAGAUUUUUGAUGUUGAAACCUGAUGUAAAUCCCAUAGUAACCAUCCCAUAUGCUGCCCUUUAAAUAGAUGAAGAGAGGAGAUUUAGUUUGGGUAGGAGAUAGAGUCCAAGAUGCCUAGAACUCUACUUAAUUUGGAUGCCACCCAUCACAUGGUUUCACGCCCAAUAUUUUACACCAUGAAGAGGAGUUUCUUACUCCUUCUUACAUGCUAAAAAGAGGGAGAAAGUGACGUCAAAAAUUAGUUGUGGCGUGGGUUUUUGUGGCGCACAAAUCUGGUUCAAUAUGGGAUUCCUUUUGGCGCAUGGAUUGGAGGAGUUUCAAUCNNNNNNNNNNNNNNNNNNNNAGGCCAUACCAUCUCAGAUCUAUUGAAGCAACUUUUGGUAUCCAUGGUCCAUCUGGACAGCAUCCAAAAUUCUAUUGGUGAAGUCUGCUUCAACACUAAAAAUGGUAGCAACAGUCUCCAUGAUGCCUUUUUGACUUAAGGCAUCAGUAACCUGGUUGUGCCUACUAGGUUUAUGCUCCCACUCAAAAUCAUACUCAGCCAAAAAUUCCUACCAAUAUGCUUAUCUAGAUGAAAGCUUUUUCUAUGUCAGGAAGAAAGUUCUAGCAACAUUAUCAAUCUUCACUACAAAUCUGGGACCUAGUCAGUAAACUCAUCAAGUCCAUAGAUAAUGCACCACCGCCAACGUCUCUUUUCAUGUGUAGAAUAUUUUUGUUUUGCCUUCUUCAGCUUCCAACUUUCAAAAGCAAUCGGAUGUCAUUUUUACACCAAUAUUGUUGGAUUUUUAUGGUUUCAUGCAUGUAUGAUUUUUCAAAAUAAGUAUGCAGUAAAAUUUUAAAAUUUUUAGAUUAAAUCUAAUUUAAUCUAAGCAUACAUAAGAUCAAAUCUUCAAACCAUAAACAUGAUCAUCAUAUAUGAGAUAAGAUUCAGAUAUAAAAAUUAAAUAUAAAAAAUAAAUAUAAAAUAUACCUGGAUAUGGAUCAAUCUUCAACGCGAUCUAAUGAUCAUGGAUAUCUUCUGAAGGUUUCUUUUAGUCGUACAAGCAUCCCAUCUCUACAGGUAUCCACACGAGACUCUGAUCUGAUCAGAAGCCUUUUCAUCGCACUAGGGUGCUAGCUCUCUUACAGAGAUCACAUCUUGACAGUUGAAAAUCUUCUUUUUUUCUAAGACACUCUUAGAGAAUAAGAAGAUGUAGGAGGAUUUUGAUUUUUACAAUAGAGAUCAUGAGAAGAAUCAUUUCUUCUCUUUUCUUCUUAAAAUCCAUGUACCAAAUCUCUACAAUAGAGAUAUAAAAAUUUUAUCCAACUUUUGGAUAAAGAAGAGAGGAGACAUCCAUAUCUAAACAUGGGCAAGAGGGAGGAGAUAAGAUGUUCUAACAACCAACAAUUGGUUGUUGUAAGAAAGAAGGGAUAUAUGGAUACAUAUCUCAUGCCUUACCCAUGCACGUUGCGCC